UACAUAGGGUGCAAGCGUUGUCCGGAAUUAUUGGGCGUAAAGAGCUCGUAGGCGGUUUGUCGCGUCUGCUGUGAAAAUCCAAGGCUCAACCUUGGACCUGCAGUGGGUACGGGCAGACUAGAGUGCGGUAGGGGAGAUGGGAAUUCCUGGUGUAGCGGUGGAAUGCGCAGAUAUCAGGAGGAACACCAAUGGCGAAGGCACAUCUCUGGGCCGUAACUGACGCUGAGGAGCGAAAGCGUGGGGAGCGAACAGG
rnacentral:rRNA from 1 species